rnacentral:lncRNA from 1 species
GCAAGCAGCAGCACCACUGAGCUAAAUCCCAGCCCUUUGAAAACCUUUUUUUAGUUUGCAGCUCUCCUUCUCAAUGUCAGUCCAAGUUGGCCAGACUAUCUAGGGAAGCCCGUGGACCGAUCUCAGCCCCUCUCUGUUUCCCAGGUGAGUGCUAAGGCAAAGUUGUCGGCAGAGAGGCUGGAUUCGCCUUUGGUCUCUCAGUGGUUUGUACUUGGGAAUGAGGGUAUGAGAUCUGUUGGAGGGCCCAGCAAACCUCUCACACAGUGAACCUGUGGACUGCUCCGGUUCGUUGGCCCCAGUUCCAAAGGACACCAAUGCAUGCUUCUGGAAGCACUCACGGCUGCUAAGUGUCACAGUAUUCAAACCACCGCUUUUUGUUUUGUUUUGUAGCAUUUCCCUCCUUCUGGCCAAGUGUAAUCCCCACCAGCUGGGUUUCACAAUACCCAGAAGCUGUAUCUUUCUAUCUCUCUGGGUCUCCCAUGACCUGGCCGCUGGUCCACACCUUCCUCCCUCACAUUCUUAGCUACUCUGUGUCACAAUCACUGAUCUCCUGGACCCAGGCUGACUCCUAGGGAGGUGCCUCUGUAUUCCUGGCAAGAAGUGGCUGUUGCAUCUUGGAGACAACAAAAAAGGUGCAUUCUCAUCAGGUGACUGGGCAUUGAGUUGAGCUAACAUCCUGACAGCAAAUUGGUCAGUCUAUCAACCCAUUCAACUGGUACCCAAACAGGGACUUUUAUGCAUUUAUGGCCAGAUUGAAGAAGGUGACCUAGAAGGGAAUCCAUAGGAGAGGAGAGACAGCAGUGGACUUCGAGGAACUACAGGGAUGCCCAAAUGAGGGAGCCAGCAUGACAUAGAGGAACCAAGACGGACCACCAUCUAGAUGCAAUGCAGCCUCUACUUGCCCUGAUUCAGCUUCUGCAACUUCAAAAACAGAAAGGAGGAACUGCAGGAGACCAGCUUGAAAUGGCAAACCAGGUUCCAGAUCUUGUGUUCAAAAAUGCAAACAAGGAGACUUUCAAAGAUGAACGAAGUCCUGUAGAAAGCACUCAGGAGCCAGAACAAGAGCUCUUUUUGUUUUGGUACUGGAAUCAAACUCAGGGUCUUGCACUUGCCAGAAGGACCAUGUCACUGGAUAACCUGGUGCCUCCGGUUGAUGAAGAUUGUCCCCAACAGCAUAUGUGAAAGACAGAG